rnacentral:rRNA from 1 species
AUUGAACGCUGGCGGCAUGCUUUACACAUGCAAGUCGAACGGCAGCACGGACUUCGGUCUGGUGGCGAGUGGCGAACGGGUGAGUAAUACAUCGGAACGUACCCAGUAAUGGGGGAUAACUAUCCGAAAGGAUGGCUAAUACCGUAUACGCCCUACGGGGGAAAGAGGGGGAUCGCAAGACCUCUUGUUAUUGGAGCGGCCGAUGGCUGAUUAGCUAGUUGGUGAGGUAAAGGCUCACCAAGGCGACGAUCAGUAGCGGGUCUUAGAGGACGAUCCGCCACACAGGAACUGAGACACGGUCCAGACUCCUACGGGAGGCAGCAGUGGGGAAUCUUGGACAAUGGGCGCAAGCCUGAUCCAGCAAUGCCGCGUGCGUGAAGAAGGCCUUCGGGUUGUAAAGCGCUUUUGUCAGGGAGCAAAUCCUUGUGGCUAAUACCCACCGGGGAUGAGAGUACCUGAAGAAUAAGGACCGGCUAACUACGUGCCAGCCGCCGCGGUAAGAC